UACGUAGGGUGCGAGCGUUGUCCGGAAUUAUUGGGCGUAAAGAGCUCGUAGGCGGUGUGUCGCGUCGGCCGUGAAAACCUGGGGCUCAACUCUGGGCGUGCGGUCGAUACGGGCAUCACUUGAGUUCGGCAGGGGGGACUGGAAUUCCUGGUGUAGCGGUGAAAUGCGCAGAUAUCAGGAGGAACACCGGUGGCGAAGGCGGGUCUCUGGGCCGAUACUGACGCUGAGGAGCGAAAGCGUGGGGAGCGAACAGG
rnacentral:rRNA from 1 species